rnacentral:misc_RNA from 1 species
GAUGAAGAACGUAGCGAAAUGCGAUACGUAGUGUGAAUUGCAGAAUUCAAUGAAUCAUCGAAUCUUUGAACGCACAUUGCACCUCUCGGUAUUCCGGGAGGUAUGCCUGUUCGAGCGUCAUUUGUACCCUCAAGCUCUGCUUGGUGUUGGGUGUUUGUUCCGCCUCUGUGUGUGAACUCGCCUCAAAACAAUUGGCAGCCGGCGUACUUGUUUCGGAGCGCAGCACAUUUUGCGAUCCAGAUCAACGUACAGCGGCAUCCAAGAAGCCUUAUUUAACGCUCUUGACCUCGGAUCAGGUAGGGAUACCCGCUGAACUUAAGCAUAUCAAUAAGCGGAGGA